CAUUACCUGUGGUCGUCGUGGAAGUUGGGCUGUCUUCGCUGUGAGACAUUUCCAUGGAAUAAAUGGUGUUCUUAUCAAGGUUUUGAGCGUGGCAACAUGUCACAUGAUCAGCAAAUCUUCUGUGACCUGCAGCAACUGUGACAGUUCAUAGCUAAACAUAAUGCUACUUCAUACAUUUGGCUGUAUCUGCUUUGCAGGUAAGUACGAGUAGGAUUACCCAGCGCAUCCCUCCUGGGCUGCCUUUUCUUUGAAGUGACCACCAUUCUUGCAUCGAUACACUGCAUUUUUAGUGAUGCUACGUCGAAAGAAGCCUACGGACAAGAAUCAGCUUAUGACUGAAAAAAAUGCAAAGACUCUUAUCUCAUAAAGAUCUAAAGAACUAAAGUUUACUAGCUUUUUGUUUGUUUUGUUUUGAGAAUUAAAGCAUCACCUUGAUUUUUAAUUUAGGCUUUAACAGCACAAUAAUAAUGACUUGUUGGUAUUUUCUAAGUAAUACUAAUUGCUGUUUUUCUUACCUGGUCAAGAAAACUCCAAUAUAGUAAGCAAAGAGUAUUGGUAAUAAAUAAUGCAGUAUUU